GACGAACGCUGGCGGCGUGCUUAACACCUGCAAGUCGAACGGAAAGUCCCUGCUUUUGUGGGUUGCUCGCGUGGCGCACGAGUGCCUUACCCGUGAGUAACCUUCCCUUGCCUUUGUGAUACCUUCACGAAACUCGUGCUAAUUCCGGUUAUGAGCUCCUCCUCCAUUGUGGCGUUUGGCCAUUUUCGGUGGUUGGGGAUCGACGCGAGGCUUAUCAGCUUGUUUGUUGGGUAGUGGCUUACCAAGGCUUUGCCGGGUAGACGGCCUGAGAGGGUGACCGGCCACAUGGGGACUGAGAUACGGCCCAGACUCGUACGGGAGGCAGCAGUGGGGAAUAUUGCACAAUGGGCGGAAGCCUGAUGCAGCAACGCCGCGAGCGGGAUGAAGGCCUACGGGUUGUAAACCGCGGUCGCCUGUGACGAAGCGUGAGUGACGGUAAUGGGGAAAGAAGCACCGGCUAACUACGUG
rnacentral:rRNA from 1 species